GGAAUAUAAGAAUCCGUCUCUUAAUUUUUAAAUAAAAAAAACUAAGAACCGCCUCUUAAAACUCUUAUUUAAGAGCCGGUUCUUAGCUUUUUUAGUUAAAAGUUAAGAGCCGGUUCUUAGCUUUU
rfam:Brassica napus, WGS project CCCW01000000 data, contig: 5739